GUUUCCCUAAACUCCUACGAAGAAUCAUUCAAAUAAAAGUGUGAAGCAACAAGUGAACAUCAAGCGGCCCUGCGAUCAAAGUUUCCCUAAACUCCUACGUUUAAUCAGUCAAGUAGUAAUGUGAGGCAACAUGUUAACAUCAAGCGGCCCAGCGAUAAAAGGUAUCAUGAACGGAAAUACCAGAAACCAAAACAAUUCAGAUGAUAAAAACGUAUUUGGCAUAAAGAAAAUAACUUACUGGGAAAUAUACGGUGUAAAACGUUUUCUGUACCGCGGAAAGCGUACGUUUACACCAUUACUUUACCAAUCUUUAGAUGGAGGAAUGGUGAUCUCAAAUGACGUUUUUGGGCUAACGAUCAGUCAGUUUGAACGAAUGUAUAAAGCUUGUUUGGAAAGAAGGAAAUCAAAACAGCAAUGGAUACUUAACCUUAGAUAUCCUGACAAAUCUUCAAAAGAAUAUCUGGAAUACUUAGAGAACUGUACAGACUGUAAUAAAGGAAACUAUUAUGGAGACUGCAGAAUUAGACCAUUGACUCACAAAAAACUGUAACAAAUUAAAUAUGCAGCUGAUUCAUAUACGUGUUGUUUAAUAAAAGUUGU